rnacentral:rRNA from 1 species
UCCUGGCUCAGGAUGAACGCUAGCGGCAGGCUUAAUACAUGCAAGUCGAGGGGCAGCGCGGGGAGCAAUCUCUGGCGGCGACCGGCAAACGGGUGAGGAACACGUACGCAACCUUCCCAAAACAGGUGAAUAGCCCUCCGAAAGGAGGAUUAAUACACCGUAAGAUAUUUGGUUGGCAUCAAUUGAAUAUUAUAGUUGAGGCGGUUUUGGAUGGGCGUGCGCAUGAUUAGAUAGUUGGCGGGGUAACGGCCCACCAAGUCUACGAUCAUUAACUGGUGUGAGAGCACGACCAGUCACACGGGCACUGAGACACGGGCCCGACUCCUACGGGAGGCAGCAGUAAGGAAUAUUGGUCAAUGGACGCAAGUCUGAACCAGCCAUGCCGCGUGAAGGAUGAAGGUCCUCUGGAUUGUAAACUUCUUUUAUCUGGGACGAAAACGGGAUUUUUAUCUCAAUUGACGGUACCAGAGGAAUAAGCACCGGCUAACUCCGUGCCAGCAGCCGCGGUAAUACGGAGGGUGCGAGCGUUAUCCGGAUUUACUGGGUUUAAAGGGUGCGUAGUGGGCUUAUAAGUCAGUGGUGAAAAUCCUCCGA